rnacentral:rRNA from 1 species
ACGAACGCUGGCGGCGUGCCUAAUACAUGCAAGUUGAGCGCUGAAGGUUGGUACUUGUACCAACUGGAUGAGCAGCGAACGGGUGAGUAACGCGUGGGGAAUCUGCCUUUGAGCGGGGGACAACAUUUGGAAACGAAUGCUAAUACCGCAUAAAAACUUUAAACACAAGUUUUAAGUUUGAAAGAUGCAAUUGCAUCACUCAAAGAUGAUCCCGCGUUGUAUUAGCUAGUUGGUGAGGUAAAGGCUCACCAAGGCGAUGAUACAUAGCCGACCUGAGAGGGUGGUCAGCCACAGUGAGACUGAGACACGGCCCAAACUCCUACGGGAGGCAGCAGUAGGGAAUCUUCGGCAAUGGACGAAAGACUGACCGAGAAACGCCGAGUGAGUGAAGAAGGUUUUCGGAUCGUAAAACUCUGUUGGUAGAGAAGAACGUUGGUGAGAGUGGAAAGCUCAUCAAGUGACGGUAACUACCCAGAAAGGGACGGCUAACUACGUG